rnacentral:rRNA from 1 species
CAGUCGCCACGGUAAUACGGAGGGGGCUAGCGUUGUUCGGAAUUACUGGGCGUAAAGCGCACGUAGGCGGCUUGGUAAGUUAGAGGUGAAAGCCCGGAGCUCAACUCCGGAAUUGCCUUUAAGACUGCCGAGCUAGUAGGUGAGAGAGGUAAGUGGAAUUCCGAGUGUAGAGGUGAAAUUUGUAGAUAUUCGGAAGAACACCAGUGGCGAAGGCGUCUUACUGGCUCAUUCUAGACGCUGAGGUGCGAAAGCGUGGGGAGCAAACAGGAUUAGAUACCCCAGUAGUCCCUGUCUCUUAUAA